ACGAACGCUGGCGGCGUGCUUAACACAUGCAAGUCGAACGGAAAGGCCUCUUUCGGGGGGUACUCGAGUGGCGAACGGGUGAGUAACACGUGAGUAACCUGCCCUUGACUUUGGGAUAACUUCAGGAAACUGGGGCUAAUACCGGAUAGGAGCUCCUGCUGCAUGGUGGGGGUUGGAAAGUUUCGGCGGUUGGGGUGGACUCGCGGCUUAUCAGCUUGUUGGUGGGGUAGUGGCUUACCAAGGCUUUGACGGGUAGCCGGCCUGAGAGGGUGACCGGCCACAUUGGGACUGAGAUACGGCCCAGACUCCUACGGGAGGCAGCAGUGGGGAAUAUUGCACAAUGGGUGGAAGCCUGAUGCAGCAACGCCGUGUGCGGGAUGACGGCCUUCGGGUUGUAAACCGCUUUCGCUCAUGACGAAGCUUUGUGUGACGGUAGUGGGUAAAGAAGCACCGGCUAACUACGUG
rnacentral:rRNA from 1 species